rnacentral:lncRNA from 1 species
UGUAGUUCUACCUGGAAACAAAAUGGGUUCUCCUAUGGGAACACCCGAAGAACCCUUUUGGAACCCUUUUUUCUAAGAAACUACAGCCUCUUCUCCUCUUUCUUUCCCUCUCUCCCUCCCUGUACCUCUCUCCCUGUGUUGUUGCCAGCUUCUCUCCCUCUCUGUCUCCCUGUGUUGCUGCCAGCUUCUCUCCCUCUCUGUCUCCCUGUGUUGCUGCCAGCUUCUCUCCCUCUCUGUCUUCCUGUGUUGCUGCCAGCUUCUCUCCCUCUCUGUCUUCCUGUGUUGCUGCCAGCUUCUCUCCCUCUCUGUCUUCCUGUGUUGCUGCCAGCUUCUCUCCCUCUCGGUCUUCCUGUGUUGCUGCCAGCUUCUCUCCCUCUCUGUCUUCCUGUGUUGCUGCCAGCUUCUCUCCCUCUCGGUCUUCCUGUGUUGCUGCCAGCUUCUCUCCCUCUCGGUCUUCCUGUGUUGCUGCCAGCUUCUCUCCCUCUCGGUCUUCCUGUGUUGCUGCCAGCUUCUCUCCCUCUCGGUCUUCCUGUGUUGCUGCCAGCUUCUCUCCCUCUCUGUCUUCCUGUGUUGCUGCCAGCUUCUCUCCCUCUCGGUCUUCCUGUGUUGCUGCCAGCUUCUCUCCCUCUCGGUCUUCCUGUGUUGCUGCCAGCUUCUCUCCCUCUCGGUCUUCCUGUGUUGCUGCCAGCUUCUCUCCCUCUCGGUCUUCCUGUGUUGCUGCCAGCUUCUCUCCCUCUCUGUCUUCCUGUGUUGCUGCCAGCUUCUCUCCCUCUCUGUCUUCCUGUGUUGUUGCCAGCUUCUCUCCCUCUCUGUCUUCCUGUGCACUCAGCUUGUUUUUCUUCUUGCCUCUGCCUCCCUACCCUCCUUCUCUUCCUUGCCUCUCUCUCUCUUCCCUCUCUCUCUCUUCCCUCUGUCUGUCUGUUGCUGCCUGCCCUGCUCCUGACAUGUCCUGCCUCCCUCCCUCUCUAUUCCACUCUACCCUGCCUCUCUCUCUCUCCAUCUCUGUUGUUCCCCAUCUCUUUCUCUGCUCUCUAUGUUCAGUGGUGCAACAUGAGGCAGUCUGUGGCUAUCUGUCUGUUUGGACUCUCAGCUCUGCUCCACGGUGAGUGA